rnacentral:rRNA from 1 species
CAGCAGCCGCGGUAAUACGUAGGUCCCGAGCGUUGUCCGGAUUUAUUGGGCGUAAGGCGAGCGCAGGCGGUUAGAAAAGUCUGAAGUGAAAGGCAGUGGCUCAACCAUUGUAGGCUUUGGAAACUGUUUAACUUGAGUGCAGAAGGGGAGAGUGGAAUUCCAUGUGUAGCGGUGAAAUGCGUAGAUAUUGGGAGGAACACCGGCGGCGAAGGCGGCUUACCGGACGACAACUGACGUUGAGGCUCGAAGGCGUGGGUAGCAAACAGGAUUAGAUACCCGAGUAGUCCCUGUCUCUUAUACA